UGUUUGCCAGAGAGGAAAGCAACACUCAUGCACCUCAUUGCAAAACACGUCUGGUCAGGCGGAAAACCCUGGACUUGCUGGGAGGGAGGGAAGAAUGAAGUUGAAACUGAAAGGCUGCUUUGGUGCCCUCAGGUCAUCUGGAAAAGUGUCCACACAGUUCAGGCUUGAGGAGUAAUUUGAUGUGAGAUGAGGAUUCAGAUGAGAAUGAGUUUCCCUGCUUCCCCUUUCCUUGGGGCUCUGCUUGGUCCAGGCCCUAAUGAGUUCUGAAUGUUCAACUACAGGUCCUCCCACCAGCCUCUGAGAAGAGAACAGGACAACCCAAUACCCCCAGAAAACUGGAAGUUGAUAUUGAGUAUUUUACCCAGUUGCAAGCCAAGAAGCACUAUGAACAGCAUCUUCAUUUGCUGCAGCCACAUCUGACCUUGGUUCCCAUACCAAGUUGCCACUUCCUGACUGUAACCAUUUGCGGCUAUACCAGAAUCUCACAAUGUGCCCCGUGAAAAAAGACAAGGAAAUGCAGCAGUCCAAGCCCCUAACUGGAGGAGGCUCCUGACUCUGGGGACUUACUCCUUCACUCAUCUCCUGCCAGCAGCAGAUGGAGCCGGUCUGGGCUAUGGAAAGGCCCUGAGCGCAAAGGGUUAACACGCUGCCCCUGGAAUGACUGGGCUUUCCCUCGAUUGGUGCUGCCUUUCAGGCCCAGGCCUGCCUGAUGAUUCUUGGUGUAGGUUAAAGGACCAUGAAUUUGUGGCUCCUGAGUGCGUGGUAAUGAGCUCAGGCACCAAAAAUUGAGAACUGGUUAUACUUGGCUUCUCCAUCCAGGUUGAAAUAGCUCACCUGUAUUCUGAGUGGUGAAGAAAGGGCUUUGAGAACACUGGAUGCCUGAGGAUGGGCAGUAUAGCCUCCAAAAAAAAAAAGAAUCAGAAGCUGGUACUAACUAAAGAAUCUGUGAGACCGGGCACGGUGGCUCACGCCUGUAAUCCCAGCUACUUGUUAGACUAAAGCAGGAGAACUGCUUGAACCCGGGAGGCAGAGGUUGCAGUGAGCCAAGAUCGCACCAUUGCACUCUAGCCUGGGCGACAGAGCAAGACUCUGUCAAAAACAAAAAAAAAAAUCUGUGAGGCUCAAACAUGGGGGUGAGGGGUGAGAAUAGGGCACCAAAAGGACUGACAUCUAAAUAAUCUGUCAGUGACAAAAUGGCUUCCAACUAAUUAAACAUAGAAAAACCUCUUUUAGGGAAGAUAAUCCUAUUGGAUCUGCUUGCAAGAUUUUUCCAGCCAGCUUCUGCCUCUUGGAGCUUCAAUUAAAAGCUGUUUAGCAGAUGGCAAAUUCUGAGUUACAAAGUUAGACUCUUUGGCAACGAUAUGUGCUUUUGCUUUCCCAGGGGAUCCUGGCCACAUAUGGCCCUGGAAGAGGCGCGAGAGCUCUUUCUUGGCACACAGUAGAGAGCUCCUCUCCCAGCUUAACACACAGAUGACAGGCAUUUCAACAUAACCAUCAAGGGUGGUGAGCAAGAGGGGAGUUUUCAGUUAAUUCAGAAAUAUGGGGGCCCUGGAAAUCAUAAUAUAUCAGGGCUGGAAGGGAACUCAAACAGCGUCUACUACAACCCCUUCUUCAUACAGAACGAGGGCACUGAGCCUUGGAAGAGGUUAUGCAAUUUAUCUAAAGUUGCCCAGCAAGGGAGAAGCAGAGUCGGGAUCAGGCUUGUGCUUAUUUACCAUAGAAGCACUUCUCUAUUCACUUGGAGGACUGUGUUCAUUGCCUGACCCUUUCCUUAUAAUCACGAGGCUCCUGAAGAGAUAUUUUACCAAUGACCUGACAAAUUUGCCAGAAGGCCUUGAAAGGGUCAUUCAUCCUCAUGUCCACCUCCUGCUUUAUUGCAGGACAAAACCAGGACCCUCUGAAAUGGAACUUCAUCACUCUUCUCUUCAAAGCUUUCUACUACAGUUGAAGUCACAGUUUCUCUUGGGUGCUGUCAAAGAGAAACAGAACCGGACACUAAAUUAAAGAUUGGGGGACAGGUUUUAUUCAGUAAAAUUACAGUAGAGGAGGGAACUCAGUAUAACCUGAGCUCAAAGAGUAUAACUCUAUCAAAACAACUUCCAUUCCACAAUUCUAUUUUGAAGCUCCUCUUUUGUAGUAGACAUGGUCAUGUGCUGGACAUACAACAGUGGACAAGGCAUUCAGGGUCCCAGCUCUCAUGGGUCUCACAAUUCAGAAGGAGAAACAGACAUCGAGCGUAUCAUUUUAAUAAUAUUUACAUAAUCACAGUUGGGGCAGUUUUAAGAAAUAAAAACACAGUAGUGCUCUGAUGAUCUAUUACUGCAUAACAAACCAUCCUAAAACUUAGUCUUACAACAAUGACAAUAGAUUGCAUAGUAUUGAGCAGUCAACAGAGAUAGCUCAUUCCUGCUCUACUUGGCAUUAGCUAGCAUGGCUCAGAAGUAGGGUACUGCUAUCAUUUGAAGGAAAACACACUCACCUGUCUGGCAGUUAAUGAUGGCCGGCAGCUGGGACCUCAGCUGGAGCUGUCAGAUGGAAUACAUACACGUGGCCUCUCCAUGUGGCCUGGGCUUCCCCACAGUAUGGUGGCUGAGUUCCCAGGGUGUGUAUCCUGAGAAGGAUAGUGGUAGAAACCACAUUCCUUUAUGACCUAGACUCAAAGUCACACAUCGUUGCUUCUGCCCCAUUCUAGUCAAUAUUGCAAACAGAAAGUAUUGCACCAUUUCAAAGGGAGGGGAAAUAGACACCACCUCUUGAUAAGGGAAUGGCAAAAUUUUGGAAUAGCAUGAUAAAAGUAUAGCUGUGGUGAUUUUUUCAAAAUACAAUUUCUCUCAAGUGUCUGUGAGAAAGCUAAGAACCUAUCAGAAGGAAUCAAGAAGGUGUUUUUAAGCUGGGACCUGGAGGGCGAAUAAGACUAAGACAGAUAAAAAGGGAAGGAGUAGGGGAGAGGAGAGAAAUGUUCCAGACAGUGGAUCCUGGCACAGAAUGAGCUUGGCUACAGGAAGAACUGAAAGGAAGCCAAUGCGGCUGCAACAUUUAUAAUAAAACGAAUGAGCAAAGGUUCAUAAUAAAAAAGUUGCAGCAACUUGAAAGUGCUUAGUAGGGACCCUCCAGCUACCAUCAGGUAAUGCCAUGCUUAACCAGCCUACACCUAGUCUCUUGGUUACCUCUGCCUGCAUAACAAACCAUCUCAAACUUAACUGGCAUACAAGAACAACAUCAUUUAUUUUUAUUAUUUUCUCUCAUGGUUCUGGAGGUUGACUGGAUUCAGCCAGACACCUUUCACUUGGGGCCUCUCAUGUUGCUGUAGUCAGGUGGUGGCUGGGCCUGGAGUGACCUCAAAGCCUUUCUCACUCACAUCUUUGGUACCUGGACUGGGAACACUCAAAUAGCUGGAGCUAGACCAGCUGUUGCUGAGCAUGCAUCUCUUAUUCCCACUCUCUCACUCUCUGGUCUUUCCAUGUGGUCCCUCCAGCACAGCAGCUCCUGAGUAGUCAAACUUCUUAGAGGGUGGCAGAUGACUCCCAGUGCAAGUAUCCCAAGAAAAACCAGGAGAAGCUGCAUGGCCUUUUCUAACCUAGACUUGGAAAUCAGGUAGCGUCACUGCUAUCCCAUGCUAUUCACUCAGGUGAUCACAAAAGCCUGGCCACUGUUAAGGGGAAGGGACAUAGAUAUUUUUUUUUUAAAUGGAGUUUUGCUUUUUGCCCAUGCUGGAGUGCAAUAGCACGAUCUUGGCUCACUGCAACCUCCACCUCCCACGUUCAAGUGAUUCUCCUGCCUCAGCUUCCCGAGUAGCUGGGAUUACAGGCACUCAGCCAACAGGCCCAGCUAAUUUUAUAUUUUAGUAGAAACAGGGUUUCACCAUGUUGGCCAGGCUGGUCUCGAACUCCUGACCUCAGGUGAUCCACCUGCCUUGGCCUCCCAAAGUGCUGGGAUUACAGGCGUGAGCCACUGUGCCCAGCCGGGACAUCGACUUUUUGAUGACAGGAGUGUCAAAGAAUUUGCAGACAUGUUUUAAAACUACAACACUUAGGGUAACCAUAUAACUCACUGUCCAAAGCAAGAUACUUUUGAGAGUCAAAGUGGGCACUUUUGAGAGUCAAAGUGGGCACUUUUCAGGCAUGAGCUAGGACUGUCCUUGGGAAACCAAGACGUGUGGUCACCCCACUGCCAUGCCCGCACGAGUGGGAGCACAAGCUCUCUUAAAUUCUUUUGUCUUUCCGACAUUCAUCAUGCCAUUUGUAAACAUAUGCUUUACUCAUUGAAAUUGGUUUUAAAUUUUAUUU
rnacentral:lncRNA from 1 species